ACUCCUGCGGGAGGCAGCAGUGGGGAAUUUUGGACAAUGGGCGAAAGCCUGAUCCAGCAAUGCCGCGUGAGUGAAGAAGGCCUUCGGGUUGUAAAGCUCUUUUGUCAGGGAAGAAACGGUGAGAGCUAAUAUCUUUUGCUAAUGACGGUACCUGAAGAAUAAGCACCGGCUAACUACGUGCCAGCAGCCGCGGUAAUACGUAGGGUGCAAGCGUUAAUCGGAAUUACUGGGCGUAAAGCGUGCGCAGGCGGUUUUGUAAGUCUGAUGUGAAAUCCCCGGGCUCAACCUGGGAAUUGCAUUGGAGACUGCAAGGCUAGAAUCUGGCAGAGGGGGGUAGAAUUCCACGUGUAGCAGUGAAAUGCGUAGAUAUGUGGAGGAACACCGAUGGCGAAGGCAGCCCCCUGGGUCAAGAUUGACGCUCAUGCACGAAAGCGUGGGGAGCAAACAGGAUUAGAAACCCUGGUAGUCCCAUG
rnacentral:rRNA from 1 species